rnacentral:piRNA from 1 species
UUUUUCACUUACAGUUCCCUCACAAA